rnacentral:tmRNA from 1 species
CCGCUUGAUUUUUCAGGAGAUUUAACUAUAAUAGUAUUGCUGCGAAAGCAGAGACGACACUGAGUGCGUUGCGUAAUAGAUCUUUUGGACUGGGGGGCGGUACCCCACAGCUCCACCAGCAAAAAAAUGGGGGCUGAAACAGCAUCGACAGGGAUUGAAAGACAGCGCUUGUGUUCCGGCGUGGUUGCCGCGAAAGACCGAAUCAAACGAAUGCUAAAAACAUUCCCGCGAACGAUAACGUUCGCCUUGCAAUGGCCGCCUAACCGGCAUCGCCUUGCGGGGUCCGCCUGAACCUGGCAACAGAAUCAGGCGCU